CUUGCGGCAAUAUCAUGGUGAAACACCAGUUCUCUUACGAUCAACAAAGUUAAGCAACGUCGGGCCUGGUUAGUACAUACAUGGGUGACCGUUUCGAACUACUAGGUUCUGCAAG